UACGUAGGGACCGAGCGUUGUCCGGAAUCAUUGGGCGUAAAGAGCGUGUAGGCGGCCACUUAAGUCCUGCGUGAAAUCCUGCGGCUCAACCGCAGGCGGUCGUGGGAAACUGGGUGGCUAGAGUGCGGGGAGAGGAGAGUGGAAUUCCUGGUGUAGCGGUGGAAUGCGCAGAUAUCAGGAAGAACACCCGUGGCGAAGGCGGCUCUCUGGAACGCAACUGACGCUGAGACGCGAAAGCGUGGGGAGCGAACAGG
rnacentral:rRNA from 1 species